rnacentral:rRNA from 1 species
UCGGGAAUUUUGGGCAAUGGGCGAAAGCCUGACCCAGCAACGCCGCGUGAAGGAUGAAGUAUUUCGGUAUGUAAACUUCGAAAGAAUAGGAAGAAUAAAUGACGGUACUAUUUAUAAGGUCCGGCUAACUACGUGCCAGCAGCCGCGGUAAUACGUAGGGACCAAGCGUUGUUCGGAUUUACUGGGCGUAAAGGGCGCGUAGGCGGCAAUUCAAGUCAUCUGUGAAAUCUCCGGGCUUAACUCGGAACGGUCAGAUGAUACUGCUUUGCUAGAGUGCAGAAGGGGCAAUCGGAAUUCUUGGUGUAGAGGUGAAAUGCGUAGAUAUCAAGAGGAACACCUGAGGUGAAGACGGGUUGCUGGGCUGACACUGACGCUGAGGCGCGAAAGCCAGGGGAGCAAACGGGGAUUAGAUACCCUGGUAGUCCCUGAGCGGGCUGGCAAGGCGCAU